GUAGGUGGCAAGCGUUGUCCGGAAUUAUUGGGCGUAAAGCGCGCGCAGGUGGUUCUUUAAGUCUGAUGUGAAAGCCCCCGGGCUCAACCGGGGAGGGUCAUUGGAAACUGGGGAACUUGAGUGCAGGAGAGGAAAGUGGAAUUCCACGUGUAGCGGUGAAAUGCGUAGAUAUGUGGAGGAACACCAGUGGCGAGGCGACUUUCUGGCCUGUAACUGACACUGAGGCGCGAAAGCGUGGGGAGCAAACAGGAUUAGAUACCCUGGUAGUCCACGCCGUAAACGAUGAGUGCUAAGUGUUGGGGGGUUUCCGCCCCUCAGUGCUGCAGCUAACGCAUUAAGCACUCCGCCUGGGGAGUACGGUCGCAAAGACUG
rnacentral:rRNA from 1 species